GCCGCACUAGAGAAAUGGUUAACUCGUCGGCCUUCUAUUGCUGAGAUCAAUAAGCCGAAGAUUCUGGGUUCGAGUCCCAGGUGCGGUU